UAAACAGUCAAGAAAGAGAUUCUGCACUCUCACGGUACAAGGAGAAAAAGAAAACACGGAGGUAUGAUAAACACAUCAGAUAUGAAUCAAGAAAGGUUCGGGCUGAAAGCAGGACAAGAGUUAAAGGACGUUUUGCAAAGAUUGAUCAUUAAUGGUACAUUUGUAAGCAGUAACCACUGACGAAUCUCUAGCACAGCUUAUAUCAGGAUGAGUAGUGUAUUAAAAAAUGGUUUUUGUCAGGAGAAGUUAGUCAUGUAUUGUGUGUACUGUAAAGUCUUGUGUUGAGUAGAUGAAUUUGCUCUUGCAACUGCCUCUGUGUUGUGCUACGUACGCAGAGAGGUGGCUUUGAGUUUCGUUAAGAUCAUAUGAAAGGUUAAUUAUUGAUUAAGUUGAAGCAAUUAUAAUUUAGAUUAA